GAUGAACGCUGGCGGCGUGCCUAAUACAUGCAAGUCGAGCGAACAGAUGAGGAGCUUGCUCCUCUGACGUUAGCGGCGGACGGGUGAGUAACACGUGGAUAACCUACCUAUAAGACUGGGAUAACUUCGGGAAACCGGAGCUAAUACCGGAUAAUAUCUGGAACCGCAUGGUUCAAUAGUGAAAGACGGUUUUGCUGUCACUUAUAGAUGGAUCCGCGCCGCAUUAGCUAGUUGGUAAGGUAACGGCUUACCAAGGCAACGAUGCGUAGCCGACCUGAGAGGGUGAUCGGCCACACUGGAACUGAGACACGGUCCAGACUCCUACGGGAGGCAGCAGUAGGGAAUCUUCCGCAAUGGGCGAAAGCCUGACGGAGCAACGCCGCGUGAGUGAUGAAGGUCUUCGGAUCGUAAAACUCUGUUAUUAGGGAAGAACAAAUGUGUCAGUAACUAUGCACGUCUUGACGGUACCUAAUCAGAAAGCCACGGCUAACUACGUG
rnacentral:rRNA from 1 species